rnacentral:rRNA from 1 species
UACGUAGGGUGCGAGCAUUGUCCGGAAUUACUGGGCGUAAAGAGCUCGUAGGUGGUUUGUCGCGUUGUUCGUGAAAUCUCACGGCUUAACUGUGAGCGUGCGGGCGAUACGGGCAGACUAGAGUACUGCAGGGGAGACCGGAAUUCCUGGUGUAGCGGUGGAAUGCGCAGAUAUCAGGAGGAACACCGGUGGCGAAGGCGGGUCUCUGGGCAGUAACUGACGCUGAGGAGCGAAAGCGUGGGGAGCGAACAGG